UACAGAGACUGCAAGCGUUUAUUCGGAUUCACUGGGCGUAAAGGGUGCGCAGGCGGCCGUGUGUGUCAGGUGUGAAAGCCCGGGGCUUAACCCCGGAAUUGCGCCUGAAACUACAUGGCUAGAGCAUUGGAGAGGGUAGCGGAAUUCACGGUGUAGCAGUGAAAUGCGCAGAUAUCGUGAGGAACACCAGAGGCGAAGGCGGCUACCUGGACAAUUGCUGACGCUCAGGCACGAAAGCGUGGGGGAGCAAAAAGGG
rnacentral:rRNA from 1 species